rnacentral:rRNA from 1 species
CUGAUGCGCCAUGCCGCGUGCAGUGAAGACUGCCCUUGGGGUUGGUAAGCUCCUUUGUCGCGGGAAGAAAACGCACUGUACCCGAAGAAGCUUGUCCGGCCUAGCUUCAUGCCAGCUCCCCCGGCUCCACGCCGGGACCCACCGUAAUUCGGAAGUUCCGGGCGUAAUCCGUAUGCAUGCGGCUAAAUGGGUCCGUUGGGGGAGCCCUAAGCUUAACUUUGGAACUGCCAUCUCAACUGUUUAACUGGCUUUUGAUCUGGGAAACCGGAAUACUUAUUGUAUAGGUGAAAUUCGUAGAGAUUCUGUGAAACGCCUAUUGCUUACGCGGCUUUCUGGAUCCUUACUGACACUGAUAUACAUCAGCAUGCGCAGCGGAAAGGAUUCGAGACCCUCGUACUCGAUACCAUACCCUAGUAUUCUCACGCUGUGGACAAUGAUUACUCUGCUGUUUGGACUAACGCGCUGAAUGA